GUGCUCACUUUGGCAACACAUAUACUAAGAUUGGACUGAUACAGAGAAGAUUAGCAUGGCCCCUGCGCAGGAUGACACGCAAAUUCACGAAGCCUUCCAUAAUUUU